ensembl:snRNA Gm23459 predicted gene, 23459
AGCUUUGUGCAGUGGCAGUUAUCGUAGCCAAUGAGGUUUAUCUGAGGCGUGAUUAUUGCUAGCUGAAGACUUUUCCCAGCCUCUGUCAUUAUACCAAAAUAGUUAAGAUGAUAAACACGGAAGCUUGCUUU